AGGGAUCAUUACACAAAUAUGAAGGCGGGCUGGAACCUCUCGGGGUUACAGCCUUGCUGAAUUAUUCACCCUCGUCUUUUGCGUACUUCUUGUUUCCUUGGUGGGUUCGCCCACCACUAGGACAAACAUAAACCUUUUGUAAUUGCAAUCAGCGUCAGUAACAAAUUAAUAAUUACAACUUUCAACAACGGAUCUCUUGGUUCUGGCAUCGAUGAAGAACGCAGCGAAAUGCGAUAAGUAGUGUGAAUUGCAGAAUUCAGUGAAUCAUCGAAUCUUUGAACGCACAUUGCGCCCUUUGGUAUUCCAAAGGGCAUGCCUGUUCGAGCGUCAUUUGUACCCUCAAGCUUUGCUUGGUGUUGGGCGUCUUGUCUCUAGCUUUGCUGGAGACUCGCCUUAAAGUAAUUGGCAGCCGGCCUACUGGUUUCGGAGCGCAGCACAAGUCGCACUCUCUAUCAGCAAAGGUCUAGCAUCCAUUAAGCCUUUCUUUCAACUUUUGACCUCGGAUCAGGUAGGGAUACCCGCUGAACUUAAGCAUAUCAAUAAGCGGAGGAAGAGAAACCAACAGGGAUUGCCCUAGUAACGGCGAGUGAAGCGGCAACAGCUCAAAUUUGAAAUCUGGCUCUUUUAGAGUCCGAGUUGUAAUUUGCAGAGGGCGCUUUGGCUUUGGCAGCGGUCCAAGUUCCUUGGAACAGGACGUCAUAGAGGGUGAGAAUCC
rnacentral:rRNA from 1 species